CCAUAACAGGCUACUUGACUUACUCAGGUACCGACCGACAGAAGGUCAGGUAUCUGGUUAGUCUUACCUUGGGGGGGAAGAAAUGUGACAAACUGAACCUCAUCACGGGUUCUUGGAGGGGUCUGCUGGCCAGCUUCUUGCCUCAGGACUAUGGGCCCUGCAAUAUACCUUGCCCAAUGCACUUUAAAAGGCUCUGUUCAUGUGAGUUAUGUACUUUUGUACUCCAGACAGAGAGACUGACCGUUAGCCCUGAUUCCCUGGAAUUGGUUUGGGCAUAGGAACAUGUGCACAGUUGGUCAACAAUAAGAUUUUCAGGAAAUUCCUGAACCCCUGAACUGAUCUGAGUGCUUUUUGGAUAUGUUGGUCACAC